AGAGUUUGAUCGUGGCUCAGGAUGAACGCUAGCGGCGCGCUUAAUGCAUGCAAGUCGAGCGAUGAGGCACCUUCGGGUGCCAUCAGCGGCAGACGGGUGAGUAACACGUAGGUGACCUACCCUGGAGAUGGGGAUAACGGAUGGAAACAUGCGCUAAUACCCAAUGAACUUGAGGUAUCAGAACUUCAAGGAAAGCUUCGGUGCUUCAGGAGGGGCCUGCGGCCUAUCAGCUAGUUGGUGAGGUAACGGCCCACCAAGGCGACGACAGGUAGGGGGUGUGAGAGCACGGCCCCCCACAAUGGGACUGAGAGACGGCCCAUACUCCUACGGGAGGCAGCAGCAGGGAAUAUUGCACAAUGGACGGAAGUCUGAUGCAGCGACGCCGCGUGGACGAAGAAGGCCUUCGGGUUGUAAAGUCCUUUUCAGGGGGAAGAGGAAGGACGGUACCCUUGGAAUAAGCGUCGGCUAACUACGUGCCAGCAGCCGCGGUAAGACGUAGGACGCGAGCGUUAUCCGGAUUUACUGGGCGUAAAGCGUCUGUAGGCGGAACAGUAAGUUGGGCGUGAAAGCUUCGGGCUUAACCCGGAGAGGACGUACAAGACUGCUGAACUAGAGGCCACCAGAGGGGCGUGGAAUUUCCGGUGUAGCGGUAAAAUGCGCAGAUAUCGGAAGGAACACCAGUGGCGAAGGCGGCGCCCUGGGGUGGGCCUGACGCUAAGAGACGAAAGCUAGGGGAGCGAACAGGAUUAGAGACCCUGGUAGUCCUAGCCGUAAACGAUGGAUGCUAGGUGUGGGGCCGACAGGCUCCGUGCCGCAGCUAACGCGAUAAGCAUCCCGCCUGGGGAGUACGGCCGCAAGGCUAAAACUCAAACGAAUUGAC
rnacentral:rRNA from 1 species